rnacentral:lncRNA from 1 species
CACGCAUAGUUCGAGGACUCAACUCUGUCAUUGAUUCGUAACGACUGUUACUGCUCUGAUUCUGUCCAUCUGUUCGUGGAGAGCUAUACUGCUCCUCAUAUCGCUCGAUCACAGACAGGACUCCUCCCUGACUUGCUACUUCUUUGUCCGAUCUCUGAGGCAUAUUGUUUCACCUUUUGUAUCUUCAACACCAAACACCACUAUCCCACUGGGCGUGCCAAAUUGUUUCGCGCGGGUUUAGUCGCUAACAAUUAAAAAGGGAUCAGACGAUUGUGUAAGGGACAAAUCUCUUGAGACAAAGUCCCAAAAAGGGGUGUUUUUAUUGGCGAUGACUUUACAAUUGGAAAAUAAAAACAGAAUGCCUCCAAGGGGCGUAAGCACACGAAUUACUGAAAAAGAAGUGUUUAAAUCUAAACUAAGAAAUUUAAAGUUACAUAUUCUCUGUUUAAGAGUGUUUGAUUCGGGGUUCCUUUGCUCUAUUUUUUUUUCCUUUUAUACUCUCUAAUUGAUCUCUUCGUGAUCAACCGUUUAAAAACUGCUUGAUCGCUCUAUACCUGCCCACUUUCCUCGUAGUGGUCAACUUGUCAUGGAACUGCCUUCUCUAACUGCUGCCAUUACUUUUUGUCGUUCAACCGUCUUCAAUUGAAUUCCUUGAAUCGUGGAACGUGAUAGGACUACCCAAUAACUGCUUCAUUAACUGCACUUUUGGGCAAUCAUAACUUCUUAUAUUUGCUAAGAUACUGGUCGACUCGAAUGUUUGGACGAGAGCAGAGUUACAGCUCUGGGCAACUGCAUGGCAAUUCAUUCACUCAAAUCUUGAGCGACUCGCAACCUUGAGCGAUGGUAUUACCGCGUUCAUGGGCUUCCCUAUUUGGGCCUUUAUCACGCAUUGCGUGAUUGGGUCGUUCUUUGGGCUAUUUGAUUUUGGGGAUCUUCUAAUUGGGCUUCAUUCUUUGGGCUAUUCAACUUGGGCUGAACUUUUUUGUGUGUCAACGUGAGGAGAUGAUAUAACGAUUGUAGAGAGUUCACUAAUCUUCAAAUGCAUGAUUGGACCUUAUUUUUGUGCUAAUUUUUGGAGAGAACGAUGUGGUAAUGAACCUAGAAAUUGAUGCAAGUUUCCUACAAAAGGGAGUUUCCACGGUCCAGGGGGAAAUUUCUUAGCAGUUUUUGAUGAUCUUUCGUACUCCUUAAUCAACAAGAAAAUAAAGAAAAAGAGUAUUAGAAAGAAAAUGGUGAAAGAAAAUGGGAACUGCAUUGAAGAUAGUGGAAGAUUAUUUC